UUGGGUGAAGUUCCAGCCUCCUUUCAAAGCUCCAGGUGCACACCGUUGGAGACUUUGAAGUACGGAAGCAGGCUUAAGGUUGAAACUGGGCCCCACUGGACCAGACCCAGAUCUUGUCCAUCGGAUGCUCCUCAAGGCUCAUGGGUUUGUCCCAGAUAGGGCACUUAGUAGGGCUGUCAACGGGCUGGGUGACCCGUCAGGGUUUCUGGCGGGCUUAGCCUGGAAUACUAGGCCAGAAGGCCAGGGCCUGACCUAAAAGUUAAGCCCGUUUGACUGGCUCGAGCUUUGUUUAGAAGCUCGUUGGCCCAGUCCUGCCCAUUUAGGAUUUCAAGGGCAUUUUUGUCAUGCAUGAUUCAUAGUGGGAGAUCUUGUCCAUAAGUGGUUUUUGGGCUCCUGCUCGGACUGGACUCGGAUUUGAGCCAUGCAUAAUCAUCAUAGCCUAGGAUCGGUCUUGCUUGUUUUCGCAUAUCAUGAACCCGGGCAUGGACAGGACGAGGUCUGUCAAAGACUGGUCCACAAAGUAAAACCUACACCUGAACCCGGGCCACUCCCAUGGUGGGUCAAAACAAACAGGCCUGACCCAUGAUGAUUAUGCAUGACCCGAUCCUGGCCACCCACUUCUUUGCAAGAUCUGGGCUGUUCAUUGGCUGUGCCCCCAUCGUGUAUGAUAUUAACAAAAAUGCCUUUUUCAGCUAAGCUUAGGCAAGAUGAUGGGCUUCUAUACACAGCCCUUGGAGGCCCUGGCACGAAAGCCUGAUGAACCUUCCACCUACUAAUGACAGCCCUAAGGGUACUAUUUGGGCUUGCAUCUGCUUAAAGGCCUGAGAAGUAGAUAUGGCCCAUCCUUAAGUAAAACAGAUGGACCUAUGAAAUUGGAUAGUGGGCCCGACCCAGUUUCAACCUUGUGUAAACCCAUGGAGGUGUUGAGAGGACAGUGGCAAUUUGUCUGUGUGUGUAUAUUGAUUGGGCAAGCUUCCGAUCUCCCUCGAUAGGCUCCGAAUGCCCUCGACUAAUGUCUGUAUGGAGUUCGGAGCAAUCAAGGGAGGUCAAGAGCUUACUCCUCAUGAUUCUUUCUGGGCCCUGGACGGCCCAUUGGCAGCCUUGAAUCUCGAUCUCUUUUGUGCCUCUGGAUGUUAUAAACCGUUGGAUGCUCACACCAUGAUCUAUCCAUCGGCCUCGUCUACCGGGUUGGGAUCCACAACAAAGCUGUGUGGAUUAAGUUUAACAUAGGACGAAAUUUGUGGGCCCCACUGGUAUUUUCAUGACAUCCAAUCCAUCCAUCAUGUGCGCCCCACACACACACACACACCCUUCUCAUCUUCUCUGUUGUGACACCAAUCCAAAACUCAGGUGGGCCACGGUUUACACAACGGAUCGACUGCUUAAAAAGCCUCAGCUUAGUUUUUCUAAGCCAUAUGCUUUGUAUUAACAUCGUGGGCGGCAUGGUGAGUGGGUCAACAUCAUUUUUGGGCCAUAUCAUAUCCAUGAUCGGACCAAACUGAUGGACAGCUUUGUUAGGAUUAUACUUUCAGCCUAAUGUUUGUGUUAUAAUCCAUCUCCGAUGUCCCAUUAUUUGGACAGUUCGUAUUCGAGGUACAUGGUACAGGCCAUGCGAGCCUCACCAGAUGUAUCACAGCCCCUGUCUGUCUUUGAUGAGGGCACGGAGGUAUGACAUUGUAUCCGUCCAUCAUAUAAGUCUUGCUAUGUAGAGACCCCUUGAUGUAGAGCAGGUCACAUACACUUUCAUGGUAAAGAUGGAUAAAAAAGGAUCCGGACCAUCAGAACCUUAAAUCAGUUAUAUCUCGCAAACUGGAAUGAGUUUUUCAACAUACCAUAUAUGAUUUUGAGUAGAAGAACAUACUUGAGCCAACCAACCCGGCUAUAUCAGACUGCCCGCAUAAGAUUUGUGAGAUUCCAUCAGUCCCGUUUAUUUUUGUUUUCACUAUAAAUAAUAAGUUUUAGUUGGAGUAUUAACUUUUGAUCAUUUGAGUUGUACAAGUCGUGCCCAAACCAUGAAGUCUAAGUAGUUGGAGUCUGUUUAAAACUUCAUCCUAACUGUUUAAAUAUUCUACGAGGAGUCCAUGGCCAAAAAGAUAAGCGAUUCCACUCAUCAAUUUUCUGAUGGGCUACAUGUUGAAGACAAGGGUAAAAUGAUUUACCCAUGGCUCACCGGUAGGCAUGGCCAAAAAGUUAGGUGACUCCACUCAUCAGAAUUCAGAUGGGCUACAUGUUGAAGACAAGGGUAAAAUGAUUUACCCAUGGCUCACCGGUAGGCAUGGCCAAAAAGAUUAGGUGACUCUGCUCAUCAGAAUUCAGAUGGGCUACAUGUUGAAGACAAUGGCAAAAUGAUUAACCAAUGGCUCACUGGUAGGUUAGAGUGUAUUUCAACGCUGAGGUCAUGAGUUUGAAUACUCAUGUUGAGCGUGCAUGUGAGUGUUGAAACCCAAACCCAUGGGUACUCGAACCCAUGACCUUAGGGUUGAAAUGUGCUCUAUUUACCAUUGAACCAUGGGUUGCAACCUGUUUAAAAGUCACUCUGAUAAAUACACCAAUCGAGAAAGCCACAACAGAAGAAAAGCUGCUAAAGAGGGUAGAAAUCUGCCUUGUCACAGGAGCAAUACAGGUUGUUGAAAGCUGCUCUUAUCCACAGCAAAGGCGUUUGAGAGUUAUAAAAAAAAGGGUAGAAAUGACCGUUCUCGCAAUAACUUGCCAUGCAUCAACAACAAUUGUUGGACUUUUACUCUCUUUUUUUCUUCUUUUUUAUUUGUUAGAGUAUGAAAUACGUACUUCUACUUAAAUACAUUCAUGUAAAUCUGUUGGGAUCUCCUAUAGUUCUUUAGGAAUAAGAUGUCUUUCAUUUUCCAAUUCUCACAUCCUGAAAUCUGUGCGGAUCUCAUUAUUUUAAUGCCCUGAUCUAAGAAUCAAGCCCAUCCAUUAAUCAGAUGUGCCACACUUUAGCAUGGCUCCAAAAACAUUUAAAAAUAUAUAUUUUUUAAGCUGCCCAAACAACACCAUUGUCCAAAUUAAAAGUGGAAUUACUUGAUUUUUUAUGGAGAACAUCUAGAUAUCAAACCAUAUGAUGGACGGCUUGUAUAUAUUACACCAAUCUGCCACAUUGGCACUUAGCAAGCCACCACAUAUCCUCAUCUUUAAGUUUUGGAUCUCUAUUCAUCUUCCUAGGUUGCAUUUUCUGGAUGGAUUUGAUGUGAUGUACGCCACACACAUUCUAAUUUUUUGAGUUGUGGGCCUCCCCGCCCCAAUUGUUCCCUUUGGUGUGUCUUACCUAGGUUUUGGAUCAACUUGAUUUUUAGGCAAAAAGGAGAACAGGAGAGGGAGCAAAUGAUGAACGGAUUGGACGUCACCCUCACAUCCUAGUGGGCCCAACUACAAAGUUUGUAAUUAAUUGUUUUAUAUAUUUGAAAGAAACAGAGCUAUUGGACCAUUUGAAGCUUAAUUUCAAUGUUGCACUUUAAUCCAUUUUUAUCAUUCACUAAUAUUAAACUAAUUUGUUUCUACAUUCUUUUCUUUAUUUUAAGAAUUAAUACUUUCAUUAAUAGAGAUGGAAGAAAACAUGCGCCGAAUGAUCCAUUGCAAUGUCCAAAGGUGAUUUAGGACCCCACUCUUCACAUGCAAUGGACCAGAAAUUGAGCAAGGCUGGACAUCACAUGGACAAUGAUCUCACACGCAUAUCAUGUUGAUUGCUGUGAUCUAGUUAAAGUACCGUUCUUUGAAUAAUCUGUUGGAUUACCCGAACUCCCAAGUGAUUUUCGGCACAUCUUCAACAAAGAAAGGAAAGAAUUAUUAAGAAAGUGGGGUGGUAAAAAAACAGAUAAA